GCACGGGUGAGUAACACGUAUGCAACCAACCCAUAACAGGGGGAUAACCCGGAGAAAUCCGGACUAAUACCGCAUAAGACCACGAUAUCGCAUGAUAUAGAGGUCAAAUAUUUAUAGGUUGUGGACGGGCAUGCGUCUGAUUAGCUGGUUGGCGGGGUAACAGCCCACCAAGGCAUCGAUCAGUAGGGGUUCUGAGAGGAAGGUCCCCCACAUUGGAACUGAGACACGGUCCAAACUCCUACGGGAGGCAGCAGUGAGGAAUAUUGGUCAAUGGGCGAAAGCCUGAACCAGCCAUGUCGCGUGAAGGAUGAAGGUCCUAUGGAUUGUAAACUUCUUUUGCAGGAGGGUAAAGUGAGCUACGUGUAGUUCAUUGCAAGUACCCUGCGAAUAAGCAUCGGCUAACUCCGUGCCAGCAGCCGCGGUAAUACGGAGGAUGCGAGCGUUAUCCGGAUUUAUUGGGUUUAAAG
rnacentral:rRNA from 1 species